rnacentral:lncRNA from 10 species
UUCUUUUCCCUGUUUUUCCCUUUGGCGGAAGUUCAGGAACCGGUGAAACCCUGUCUCUACUAAGAAUACAAAAAAAAAAAUUAGCCGGAGGUGGUUGAGGGCUCCUGUAGUCCCAGCUACUCGGGAGGCUGAGGCAGAAGAAUCGCUUGAACCCCGGGAGGCGGAGGUUACAAUCUGUUUCUUAGAAGUGGACACGUGAACUCUUACACAGAUCAAGAGGAGCAGCUCUGUAAAUAUUUCCCUGAGGGCCCUAAUAAGAGUAAGAACCGCCGCUUUCUAAGAACCUACUGUGUGUCCAGCAGGGAUCUACAGCAUUGCAUUCAAUUCCGUCCUCCCCCACGCCUGCCUUUAAUUGAUAUGAUAAUAUACAAAUUUUUUAAUGAAUAACAAAUGUGCCACCAAUCACCUAGAACUAUUAGGGAGGCUCCAAAGCAUCAAAGGCUAAACUAAACACCAUGGCUGGAGAGGGAAUGAACUGGAGGAGGGAAAGGAGGAAAGACUGGGGGGACCCAGAGCUCUCCACCCUUGUCCUCUCGCUCCAGCCUGGUCUGUUCUUGCUCAUUCAGAAACUGGUUGGAGUAAAAAGAUUCCCCUUUUCAAGAUCGCCAAAAGUGGAACUGAUCGCUUUCGAAGGGACUCCUUCAGGAAGAAGGAGAAAAAUUCGAGAAACUUACCUGUUUCUCUCCCUGGAAUGCCUUCUGAACCCUGAGAUUUACUUUCCUCAAUAAAGAAGCUCGCCUCGCCCACCCAGCCCACUCUUCCUAGGAGCAGCGAGGAUCGCUGUCCCUCCAGCACAUACUAGUCAACUCGAGUCAUCUGAAUAUGGGCAUAUUGGGCACAUAUUUCUUUGUAAUGGUUCCUCUCCUAUUACAAUAUGUAUCUGUUGUUUCAUCGUUAGAUUGAAAGCUCUUUAAGAAUUAUGGUAACAGUGUUACAGCUCUUUCAGAAUUUGUUUAGCAGGUUUUCUGGUUUUCACAGGAAAAUAAAAUAAAAACAAUAAUUAUAAUAAUGGCUACCGUGUUUUGAAUGCUUGCUUUUAGGCUAUUAAGCACAG